UACGGAGGGAGCUAGCGUUGUUCGGAAUUACUGGGCGUAAAGCGCGCGUAGGCGGCUUUGUAAGUUAGAGGUGAAAGCCCGGGGCUCAACCCCGGAACUGCCUUUAAGACUGCAUCGCUUGAAUCCAGGAGAGGUGAGUGGAAUUCCGAGUGUAGAGGUGAAAUUCGUAGAUAUUCGGAAGAACACCAGUGGCGAAGGCGGCUCACUGGACUGGU
rnacentral:rRNA from 1 species